rnacentral:tRNA from 1 species
GCGGACGUGCUGGAACCGGUAGACAGGCCAGCUUGAGGGGCUGGUGAGCAUUAGCUCGUGGAGGUUCGAGUCCUCUCGUCCGCACCA